UACGUAGGGAGCAAGCGUUGUCCGGAAUCAUUGGGCGUAAAGCGCGCGUAGGUGGCCCCGUAAGUCCGCUGUGAAAGUCAAAGGCUCAACCUUUGAAAGCCGGUGGAUACUGUGGGACUAGAGUACGGAAGAGGCGAGUGGAAUUCCUGGUGUAGCGGUGAAAUGCGCAGAUAUCAGGAGGAACACCGGUGGCGAAGGCGGGUCUCUGGGCCGUAACUGACGCUGAGGAGCGAAAGCAUGGGGAGCGAACAGG
rnacentral:rRNA from 1 species